CCGCCUGGGCGGGGGCAGGGGCACCAAGCCCGAGCCGCGCGGCCGAGGCGCACAGGUCCCGCGCGCGCAGUGGGUGGGCUCCGCUCCUGCCGCUCCGGGCCGCGCGUCCCCCAGGCUCCGCCCCGUGCCCGAGCCGGGGAUCCCAACCGCGGAGGCUCUGAGCUAUGCUGGGGCCGCGCGUGCGCGCGCAUCUGGUGCCCCAGCGGAGAGGGAGCUGCCCUGGACCGGCGACCCCAGCCCCGUCCGCCCUGAAUCGGAUGGGACCCAUUGAGGAUUUCACGCAGUGCCGAGUGCGCGCCCUUCGCGAUUACCGCGCCGGAUGAGCCAGGGGGAGGCCUGGGGAGCCAGCAGAAUUUCCAGAGAGAUAAAUAAGGACUUAUUACAAAUAGUGCAUGGCAAUAACAAGGAAGCUGAAGAAUUACAGACUUACCAUCCUGUUGCCACAGUCUCCUCAGACAGCUUUCUCCCCUCUUCCCCUACCACACAGAGAGCCUUUGUUGCUAAGUUUGCUUCUUCGCUAAAACCAUAUCAGAGAGCACACUUUUAAACAGGUGGAUACCUGGAAGAAGAAGGAAGGGCGGGUGAGCCAUGCAUGCCCAGUUCCUGCUCCACAGGAGAAAAGAAGCCAGCAAAGGAAGAGGAAGGCAAGGACUUCUGCUGAACGGAAAGGUAGCUCCCCACUCUGAAGGAUGCCUCAGGAUUCAGGCAGAGGUUCAGUCCUGGGCUCUGAGGAGGAAGAAGACGAAGGGUUUCAGCCACACAAGCGCCAGAGAGACUCAGGACAUUUGCAUCAAGAUUCUGAUUCUCCAAUUUUUCUUUGGAUAACUCUACCAUUGGAUUAGAAUUUUAUAAUUUCUUGUUACUGAUGGUGUCUUAUUUGAAAAAGAUCUAUAAUUAAUCAAACAAGGUAUAAAUCAUGCUCCUCUGUGUGCGGUGCCACAUGGAAUCAAAGCAUCCACAUCACUCUUCUCAUACAGAAGCUUUAUUUUUUAUUGCCCCCAAAUAAAGUAUCCCUUUCUUGUAUCACAAACAUAAAAAAAAUAUAUAUAAUUAUGUGAAAAUUUAGUUCACAUCAGGAUUUAAGGCAUAUUCUAGGACAUUGUUACUUGUAUAAAUUUGGUGAUUUAUAUUCAAAUAAUAGUCUUAUUAACAACUCCUAUUCUGAGCUUUAUAAAUAAAAGCCAACUAUUUCUAA